rnacentral:rRNA from 1 species
GACGAACCGUCCUAACGUUGUUCGGAUUCACUGGGCUUAAAGGGCGCGUAGGCGGGUGAGCAAGUCCGGGGUGAAAUCUUUCGGCUUAACCGGAAAACUGCCUUGGAUACUGCUCGUCUAGAGGGAGGUAGGGGUCUGCGGAACUUCCGGUGGAGCGGUGAAAUGCGUUGAUAUCGGAAGGAACGCCGGUGGCGAAAGCGGCGGACUGGACCUCUUCUGACGCUGAGGCGCGAAAGCCAGGGGAGCAAAC